rnacentral:lncRNA from 1 species
AUAUGUGGCGUUUCAGAACUUAAGAACUUCUCCCAAAGCUGCUGAGUGCUGAACAGGUGGCACCCACCAGAGCGGGCAGAGCAGCGUGUUGACCACACCAUGGACGUGGUGCAGCGGGAGCACGUGGAGGAUCACGUCGUCUUUGGUCCAUGCCCACUUGUGGACCAGCCCAGUCACCACGGCCCUGAGGUUGCGCUCCACUGUAGACGGCUGGCGUGAGAGGCAGCAGCGGGACCCCCUGCUUCCUGACCACUGGGCUCCGGAGCUACAGGUACUCCUGGCCGGCAAGGACCACCGAGCUCUGGGUGUCGCGGAUGACGCACCUCAGCUGGGCCGCAGGGUGCUUCCUGUAGAAGGGGACCUCCACGCCGCCGCUCAUCCACGAAGCCCACUGGGCCACGACAUAGGAGGCGUAGUUAGCGCACAGGAAGGAGACCCUCUCCUCACGGAGGACCCCAGCCAACACACCCAUGGAGCCUGCAGAUCUCCCUGGACAGGUGAAGGCUACAGGAAUAAAGCUCCAUGUACCUGUGGUGGCCGUGCUGGUCAACCAGGGCGGUUCUGUCCCCAAAGCCCAGGGCACUGGAGAACGCUGGGGUGGUCCUGUUUGAGGGGGCCACGGGGGCUGUGCGCAGAAGGCCACUUCCUCCAUGUCUUGCAGGAGCCAGACAAUAGGAAGCCAAGGCACAGGCCAGGCACUGGAAGGUCAGCUUCACAGGGGGCAGGUAUCGUACUGACAGGCGUUCCCAGGGGCUUCCUAGGGGCUACCUACAAGACGGCUGCGCGGCCGGGGUGCAGGAUCUGCCUCGCCGGAGCUUUUGCUCCGCUGCCCGGGCCGGGGUCCAGCAUCUAUGGCAGGCGCUGCAUCCGGGCGACGCCGAGCAGGGCGGGAAAGGGAGAAGCUGAAGGCGCCAUGAUGGUGGCUGUGUGUGGGUAAGGGUGAGGGUGCAGACCCCUCCAGGCUCACGCUCUGGGUCCUGAGCCAACACUCCACUGACAGGCGAUCCUUGCACUGCUUAUGGCAGUUCACACCACAGGCUCGGCAUUUGAGGCCUUGCUUAUAGAUACCCAGGAUCGGGGCUUUGCAGUGGCGGCAGGUGACCGGGCGCAAGGAGUUGCUCUCCUGGAAGUUGUGUACGACGCCCACGCGGUCCCCCAGCACAGAGCUGGAGCGCAGAAAAUAGGAGACCAUCUUCUCCCUGCUGAUGUAGCAGUCCUGGUUCUGGUCGAGGUCCCCAAAGGCGCUGAGGUAAGGGAAGUUCCCACGGAUGAUCUGGAACUCUUCCUGUGAGAUGUGGCCAUCCCCAUCGACGUCAAAGUUCCAGAACACAGACUCCACCAUCUUCUCAAUGUGCUCCACCACUAGGGCCUGAUCCAGCUUGGGUUUGGCAGCCGAGGUCCACUCCUCCAGCACCUAGGGCCGGGGUGGUGGGGUACAGCUCGUGGGGCUGGUUGGCAAGGACUUGGAGCGCGGCUCCCGCUGCUGGGAUAGCUGGUGCAGCUCAUCCUCCAUCUGUUACUGAUCCAGAGAUGCCGUGAGCAGGCCGAGCAGAUCACGGUUGGCCUGUACUGGUGACCAAAGCCUGGUCACUAUGGCCAGCUUCUCCAGGAUGCUGAAGACCUGCUUCAUCUUGCCCUCAUGGAGCCGGGUCCGGGCUGGGUCCAGCCAGUCAGGCAAUGCCAGCUGCAGGGCCACCAGGUCCUUGAGGUGCACACCCAGGAUGGGGAAGCGGAAGCCCACAAAGGCUGCCAGCCGGCGCUGGUAGUUGCCAUAGCUGCCUGUCGCCGUCGCUAGUUCCACGAGACCAUCCCAGAGCUUGAUGGUCUCAGGGCUAAAGUGGCUGUGGGUCUCCUUGAGGCGGGAGAUGGAGCUGUGGCUCAGGCCCCCGACCACUAUCAUCAGUAUGUUGAAGUUCUGCAGCUGCAGCAGCUUCUCCGCCACGUGGACAAAGUGUGUGAUGACCAGGCCCCGCUGCGGGGCUGUGGGUUUGCUGAGGAUCAUGACCCACUGCGAGAUGCUUUUGAAGAGGGAGAUGAACCGCUCCAGGACGGGGUUGUCCACAGUGUAGCCAUGAGUCACAAAAUUGUGAUAGUCCUGGAACCGGAUCUUGCAGAAGGAGUGAUACUCCAAGUAGGUGAGAUGCCCCGCCAGCUCCAGGGGCUCCAGGUGGUCGAACAACAGGGACAUCUGGCGCUUUUUCUGUCCCAUAGGGUUCCGCUGAGUCACCUGCCUCUUCCACUUGUAGGUAGGGACGCUGUCUAUGUCGAUGACGCUGCCGCGCCGCCAGUUUCCUGCUUGGUCUAGCAGAGCCUUCAGCUCCUUGAUCUGCUCAGUGAGCUCCGUGUUCAAGUCAAACUCCGGUGGGAAGGCAGAGAUCCAGUACGUGACCAGGUAUCUUGUUUUCCUACUUGUUUCUCUUUUAUUUUCUUUCCUAGUUAUUGGCGGUUUCAUCAAUUGAGUGGUUUGAGCUAGGAACCUGAAAGUCAUCAAGACCUCACUCCUUUGCUCAACUUAACACUAUAAUCUCUUCACCUAGACUGUGAUCUCUUGAGAGCAGGAUGGUGCUUGUUUGAUGUCCUAUCUCUCCUACCUAGCAUAGUACUCAGAAUACAGGAGGUAGUCAGUAAGUUCUUGAAUUAGUGAAUGAAACUAAUCUUUCUCUCCUCCCUAUAUUUAAACCAUUAUCAAGUUCCUUUGAUUUUGUUCCCUAAAUAGUUAUUUAAUCUGAGCUUUCUUCUUACCUUUCUGUUCUGUUCAUUCCUUCUGAUUUUACCUCGUAACUGGUUAUUUAAUCUGAUCUCUCUCUCACCUCUGUUCUCAUGAUCUCUUAUCUAGACUGUCAAAAUAAUCUGUUUGUACAAUCUUGCCCCCCCACCCUCUAUUACAAUUUCUCAACAUGAUUCAUUUUGAAUUAAAAUAUGAUCUUGCCACUACUGCUAGAAUCUCUUCAAUGGCUUUACAUCAUUCACAGGAUUUUUUAAAGCCCCUUAGAAUUAGACAAGGCCCUUUGUGGUUCCUUCAACCUUUCCAGUCUCAGGUUGUGUCACUCUCUCACUCCUCUUUUCAAAUAGUACCAAACUAAUUUGGUACUGUUUUAUCCACCAUGAGGUAUAUAGCUGAUUGGUUCUUAGCCUGGGUUGGCGAAAAGGUCAGAGAAGGAUUCCUAGAGUGGAAGACACAUUAGAGAGACCUGAAAAAUCAGUGAGAGUUAG